AUGGAAGCAGACCUCCUGAGACCCCAGUGCCCUGCAGGGAAACUCUUUCCCCCGCCUCCCUCCCACUCAAAAGACCACGAUGCCCCAGGGCUCUGGCUGUUGAAAUGGGGGUCCGGAGGUGGUACCUGGGGCUCCUUUCACAUGGCCUGCGAGCGGUUAACUCUUUGCACCCUGCCCUGGCUUUGCAGCCGGGUCGCCACAGAGGAGCAAGUGGACGCCGGUGACUCCGUUUCCCUCAGAACUCCCGUCUGGGACCCUGCCACAGAGUCCUCCCAUCAGCUCAACUUUGGAACUGCGAUGGUCCCUGCUGGCAGAGGCUCAGAAGUAGCUUGUGGGGAAACUGCUGAAACAGAAGUGGUCCAGAGCGUCUGGGAAGCACCAGCUCCUAGUGGAAGGAGCUUCCAAGUGGGGUGAUAGACACACAGGUAGGAACUGAGGUCGUUGCUUUGGUCCAGGAGUGGGAGGACUGGCUUGAUCAGGAACAGUUUUGUUGGGCGGGAAGAUGCAGUGAGUCCAGGGACCCUGAGGGUGGCUGGCGGUAUAGCCUCCCUCUAAAAGCACUGGGAAGGGGGUCCCGUGGUUAGUGAGCCAGGCCAGGCCCCGGGCGCUGUGCAGAAGCAAAGAUCACACACGUGCCACGAUACGAGGA
rnacentral:lncRNA from 1 species